rnacentral:rRNA from 1 species
AUUGAACGCUGGCGGCAGGCCUAACACAUGCAAGUCGAACGAGCGGCGGACGGGUGAGUAAUGUCUGGGAAACUGCCCGAUGGAGGGGGACAACUACUGGAAACGGAAGCUAAUACCGCAUACCAUCAGAUGUGCCCAGAUGGGAUUUGCUAGUAGGUGGGGUAACGGCUCACCUAGGCGACGGUCCCUAGCUGGUCUGGGAGGAUGACCAGCCACACUGGAACUGAGACACGGCCCAGAUUCCUACGGGAGGCAGCAGUGGGGAAUAUUGCACAAUGGGCGCAGGCCUGAUGCAGCCAUGCCGCGUGUAUGAAGAAGGCCUUCGGGUUGUAAAGUACUUUCAGCGAGGAGGCGUUACUCGCAGAAGAAGCAACGGCUAACUCCGUGCCAGCAGCCGCGGUAAUAC